rnacentral:rRNA from 1 species
CUCGCGGCCUAUCAGCUAGUUGGUGGGGUAACGGCCCACCAAGGCAUCGACGGGUAGCUGGUCUGAGAGGACGAUCAGCCACACUGGGACUGAGACACGGCCCAGACUCCUACGGGAGGCAGCAGUGGGGAAUCUUGCGCAAUGGGCGAAAGCCUGACGCAGCAACGCCGCGUGGGGGAUGAAGGCCUCUCGGGUUGUAAACCCCUUUCAGCAGGGACGAAAAGACGGUACCUGCAGAAGAAGCCCCGGCCAACUACGUGCCAGCAGCCGCGGUAAUU